CGAGUGAAUUUCACAUUUUCACUUAACUUAAGAACCCGGGAAAUAACCUACCGCAUAUGCAAUAUAAUAUUAUAACACAUACGAUGUAUACGAUAUUCAUGUGUAUGUAGGUAUUAUAUUAUGCGAACGCACACGGAAUCUCAACGUUUAAUCAUAAUAAACGCGCCUUUACCUGGAGGGUCGUCGCAUAUCGUAGUACCGACUCCUGCGGUUCUGUAUUAUAGUCUCGUGACCGUAAAAUUUAACUAUCUC